ACGGGUGAGUAACACGUGGCUGACCUACCUCAAAGUAGGGGAUAACGUUCCGAAAGGAAUGCUAAUACCCUAUAAGCUCCCGAUGGUUAGAGGAUUGGGAGAAAAGUUCCGGCGCUUUGAGAGGGGGCUGCGGGCCAUCAGCUAGUUGGUGAGGUAAAGGCUCACCAAGGCGACGACGGCUAGGGGGCCUGAGAGGGUGACCCCCCACACUGGAACUGAGAGACGGUCCAGACUCCUACGGGAGGCAGCAGUGAGGAAUAUUGCACAAUGGGCGCAAGCCUGAUGCAGCGACGCCGCGUGGGUGAUGAAGGCUUUCGGGUCGUAAAGCCCUUUUCUAGGUGACGAGAAUGGACGGUAGCCUAGGAAUAAGUGUCGGCUAACUACGUGCCAGCAGCCGCGGUAAAACGUAGGACACAAGCGUUAUCCGGAGUUACUGGGCGUAAAGGGCGUGUAGGCGGAUCGGUAAGUCUACUCUGAAAGCUCCUGGCUAAACUGGGAGAGGCGAGUGGAGACUGUCGGUCUAGAGUGAGGAAGAGGAAAGUGGAAUUCCGCGUGUAGUGGUGAAAUGCGUGGA
rnacentral:rRNA from 1 species